rnacentral:rRNA from 1 species
CUGCGAAUGGCUCAUUAAAUCAGUUAUCGUUUAUUUGAUAGUACCUUACUACACGGAUAUCUGUGGUAAUUCUAGAGUUAAUACGUGCUAAAAACCUCGACUUCGGAAGGGGUGUAUUUAUUAGACUAAAAACCAAUGCCCUUCGGGGCUCCUUGGUGAUUCAUAAUAACUCAACGAAUCGCAUGGCCUUGCGCCGGCGAUGGUUCAUUCAAAUUUCUGCCCUAUCAACUUUCGAUGCUAGGGUAGUGGCCUAGCAUGGUUACAACGGGUAACGGGGGAUUAGGGUUCUAUUCCGGAGAGGGAGCCUGAGAAACGGCUACCACAUCCAAGGAAGGCAGCAGGCGCGCAAAUUACCCAAUCCCGACACGGGGAGGUAGUGACAAUAAAUACUGAUACAGGGCUCUUUUGGGUCUUGUAAUUGGAAUGAGUACGAUUUAAACACCCUAACGAGGAACAAUUGGAGGGCAAGUCUGGUGCCAGCAGCCGCGGUAAUUCCAGCUCCAAUAGCGUAUAUUAAAGUUGUUGCAGUUAAAACGCUCGUCGUUGAACCUUGGGCCUGGGCGACCGGUCUCCCUCACCGGAUGCACUGGUUCGGCCGGGCCUUUCCUUCUGGGGAAUCGCAUGCCCUUCGCUGGGCGUGUCGAGGAUCCAGGACUUUUACUUUGAAAAAAUUAGAGUGUUCAAAGCAGGCCUUUGCUCGAAUACCUUAGCAUGGAAUAAUAGAAUAGGACGUGCGGUCCUAUUUUGUUGGUUUCUAGGACCGCCGUAAUGAUUAAUAGGGUCAGUUGGGGGCAUCAGUAUUCAAUUGUCAGAGGUGAAAUUCUUAGAUUUAUUGAAGACUAACUACUGCGAAAGCAUUUGCCAAAGAUGUUUUCAUUAAUCAGUGAACGAAAGUUAGGGGAUCGAAGACGAUCAGAUACCGUCGUAGUCCUAACCAUAAACUAUGCCGACUAGGGAUCGGGAAGAGGUUAUCAUUUUGACUCGCUCGGCACCUUACGAGAAAUCAAAGUGUUUGGGUUCU